rnacentral:lncRNA from 1 species
AUAUACAAUCUAACAACGUCAAGAACAAACUCUGUUGAAUCUGAGUUAACUAUGCUGAAUCUAAGUUAACAAAAAUUAACUAUGCUGAAUCUGAAUGAAUCGUAGCAGGAAGAUCAGUGCGUCACUGCGUGAAUUGCAAAGACCUAUGGAGAAGAAGAUAACCCAUCCUCUUUUUUGUUAAACCCAGUUUGACCUACUAGGAUUUUUUAUUAACUUUAGA